rnacentral:tRNA from 1 species
GACGGGAUGGCCGAGUGGUCGAAGGCAAAGGACUGCAAAUCCUUCCGGAGCAAUCCGCGCGCGGGUUCGAAUCCCGCUCCCGUCUC